AGUGUCACCUGACCUGGCCAGGAAGCCGCAGGUGGGAGCCUGGGGGAGGCGCUUCCCCUCAUCCUGGGCUUUGUGCGGCCCAGGGCAGGGCUGGGCACCGUGGGGCGCUGUGUGCACAGGAAUACCCGCUGCGGCCACCAGCAGUGAGUCACUGCCUGGGACUCGAAACAAUAGUGGGAGGGCCCGGGACACUGGCUGCUAUUUACCAAACAGGUCUUUUGAGCAGGGGGCAGCGUCCGGCUGGAGCUCAGUCCUGCAGACACCACAGUGCCAACCCCAGGAGCUGACACCGGGCGGCCGGUGGGGCUGGCUCUCUGCAAGACCUCGGGCAUUCGGGCCACCACUGCCCCAGGGCCCGGCCUCGUCAGCUACCCCGGGCCCCAGUUAUGGACCCCGCCGUCCACGCAGGGCUUGGGAGGGCUUGCAGCCCGGGCGCAGCCGGUGCCCGAGCUCUGUCUCACACCCAGGAGGGGCGCCUUUCCGCCCAAAGGCUCGGCUGGGAGCAAUGUGGGGAUCACCCUGUCCAUGCCUCGUUUUACUGACAGGUAAACCGAGUGGCAGGAGAUAGGGCUCGCUCAGGUCACCCAGGGCAGUGCUCUGUCCUGACCUCUCGUGCCUCCCUCCUCUCUCUACAAGUGGCUGCUCUGUCAGGCCCACCAGGGACGCUGUGAGCCCAUCAGAAGGUUCCAGGGGGCGGGCGCAGUUACUACUCGCCACCCCCCGCCACCACGGGGCACCGGCAGCCACGUGGUCGGAAGGGGCCUGUGGCGCAAUGGCCCGGAAGGCAGUGACACCAUCAUUCCCGUCCUAAGAACCAUCCGGCCCCGGGGGAAGACUGGCUUCUGGGGAGGGCAGAGGGGCCGGGCGCCCAGGCGCCGCCACCCCAGGGCACCCUUGCCACCUCCCCAGGUGUCCACCGCCAGGCUCCAGUUGGGGGCCCGCAUGUGCGGCAAUGUGCACACGGGACGAGGGUGUCUGCGAGGCCGUGCGUCCGGGUCUGUGCAAGGUGCUCAGGGGCACCUGCUCCGUUCACCCCAGGGCCCUGGUCUGCAUGUGGGGCUCCCAGGUCCCAGAGGGCAGAGGGUGGCCCUGCUGCCCAGGGCGCCCGUGGGCACAGCGGUGCUGGCGGGAGGAAGGAAGUACUCACUGAGCAGCGUCCUCCCUGUGGUCUGCGUCGGCAUGCUGGGCGCCCGCGCUCCGGCCCGUGCCUGCUGGGGGUGACACCUCAAGGCUGGGAGCCCUGCGGGCUGGCAGCCACUUUAUGCCCGCCGGGGCGAUUGGCCAACACCUCGUGAGCGGCCAAUGGGCGCUGGGCGCGGCGGGGUGCCCGCUCCUCCUCCUGUUUUCUUCGAAUUCGUUCUUCGAGGUCAGCCCCACGCCCAGGGAUGAUGCGAACCGCAGGCUCAGCCUUCCUGGGGCGAGUGGGCAGGGACCGGGUCCGUGCCACCUUUGGGGGGCCGGGGCCGGGCCCAGGGUGGGCGGGAGGGACUGGCCUCUGGAGGCCCCAGGCCAGUCUCUUCCCCGGGAGCCACCGUCCCCGCAGGCUUGGGGCUGAGGGGAGUGAGACAUCUUCCUUCUUGAGUGCCCUUCCCGCCCUCUCGCCCGAGCUGUUGGGACAUCUGUGAGCGGAAACCACCGGGCUCUGGGCACAGAGCCAGACCCAGGCUGGCAGCCCCGAGAUUGUGGUUCUGGCCCCGGGACCAGCAUCCCCCAGCCCAGCUCCCCGCUGCCUCCUGUCCUUUAUUGCCACCCCUGCCACCCUUCCCCGUCCCAGGCCCACAGCCCAGACCCGGCCACUGUUCUCUGCAGACAGUGUCCUCUGGGGAGAACUGGACACUUGCAGCAAGAAAAACAGGAGACCAGCGGUCAAGCCCCCUGAUGUGCUGUGUGAUCUGAGGCAAGUCACUUAACCUCUCUGGGCCUCAGAGCCCCCACUUAUCAAAUGAGGAGGAGAAAAGCAUUUCCCAGCUCACCUCACAGGCUGUUGGCUAUCAUGGACAUAAAAGGCAAAAAGCCUUUGAAGGGAAAAGAAACGAUGAAGAUCUAAUUCCAAGUAUUCGCUGUCGGGUGGGAGUGGUGAGGUUCGGGUGUGCUGGGUUUGGGGAGGAUGGGGAAGCUGUGAGCUCAGAGGGGAAGCCGGGAGGUGGGGCUGCGUCUGCAACGGUUGGGGACCAGGUUUCACUUUCUCUGAAAGAUAGCAAUCGUGGGUUUGCCCUCCACUUCUUGAAGAUUUGUCUGAGCUCAGAAUGAAGGGCCCCUGCAGACAGCGCCUGCCUGGCCAACCUGCAACUUUACUGUGGGGUAAACUGAGGCCCAGGUGAGGGUAGACAAGGCGAGGUUGAGGGGCAGGGCCAGGCUGGGAGACUCUGGCACAUCCGCCAGGCCAGGAAGAGUGUCCUUGGCCUGCACCCUGAGGGGCCCGGCUGCG